GAACUUUUUAAAACGAAUCCAUUGAUAUAAAUUUCAUAUAUGAAAAAAAUACAUAUCAAUAGAGUUUUCAUUGGUCAAAGCCUUGUCUUGACGAAACAAAAUACGCCAACCUUUGUGAAAUGAAGGAAGUAAAACAUUUGUUCUCUUUCUUGUACAUGUUCGAUGGUGUUUUGACCUCAACACCAGGUGGGAGGAACACCAAGUUACAUGUGCUCAAAACGUCUUGCUGAUAUGCCAUAUGGUAGCAAAUCUGACAUUUAGUCUCUAGGUAUGUAUGCGAAAUCACUUUUCUGAACCUAGAUAGAGAACUUGCAAUUCAACAUUUAUAUUUGUUUUGUUUCAGUAUGUUGUAUAUGCGAAAUGGCUGCUCUCAGGCCUGCAUUUAAAGCUUUGUCACGGAGCUAAGCAAAGCUGAGAUACUUUAAUUCUCAACUGAUAUAAAUACAACAUAUUUUCAACUGAGAUAAAUACAAUACAAGUCAUACUGACUACCUGCAUUUCGUGAAUAUAAAUCAACAAUAUAAGAUUCCUCUGAUUCUCUUGGACUUAAAAGGAUCCCAUAUGCAGUGAUGCCAUGAUGGCGAAUAGGUUUAACAUGUGAUGCACCUCAUUAUGUCACACUUUCAUUCUCUCAAGCAAUGCUUGGCAAGUGUGCAUUUUCUUUACUCUUCCCUCAUUUCUCAGAUUAUGCAUUUUUAUCCUACAGUAAUCCGCUAAUUGGUUUUGGCUUCAGAUCUGUUAUCAGAUUUUAUUUUUCUUCUUAUCCAGUCCCUUAUUUGAU